UUAAAGACUGUGAACAGGGCAAGUACUUAUAUAGAACCUUAUUCAGAGAGUAGUUGGUUGGUGUGAAACUAUAGGUAUAUUUAAGGAAAAUCACCUGGGAGUUGGAGACUGAAAGGAAUAUAUUCUUAUUAAGUUAUCCCGUAUAUCCACGUUACAGGAUACGAGCAUUAUAGGUGCUUUUAAUUACCUAUCAUAAAAACGUAAAAUUUUAAUAUUUAUAAUUGAAUUAUAUAGAUAGGUUUGAACUUUAGGUGGUAUAGCGAAUAUAACUUCGUCCUUUUA
rnacentral:ncRNA from 1 species